GCCGGGGAGAUGGCGGUUCCCUGUACCUGCAAUCCGCCACAGCAGGGGUGAUAUCCCGCCCAGGGUGUGUCAGCUGUGAAGCAGCCCGCGGAAAGCGGUGUUGACGCGAGGGCCCCCGCGCGGCGGACCUCCGUGAACCGCGUCAGGGCAGGAAUGCAGCAGCGCUAAGCGGAUGCGGACGGGUGAUGCGGGAUCACCGUCGCCGAGCCGGCUGCCGCGGUAACGUUCAUGGCUCCCAUUC
rnacentral:SRP_RNA from 1 species